AAGGUGUAAAAUCAUGAAGGAGCAAAGAAGCUUCCAAGAUAGUUUUCUGCAGGUCAUUCUGUGCAACUGAUUUCCUGAAUGUUGUUGGCAAGAAAACAAAGUAGAAGCGCUGUGUGAGUCAUGGCACAUCUGUAUUCAUGUUUCCCCACAGACUCGGAGCUGUGGAAGAAAAGAUCCCGUGCAGCAGCUUGGCAGGACGCUGCAAAGGAUGCACCUUGGAGCAGGCAGCAGAAAGAAGGGAGAAAACUCUUCUGAGCCUUUAUGGCUUAGAAGGAACGUACAAGGAUUCAAAUGCUGUCCCAUGGGGAGAAGGAAAGGAAACAAACUGCAGCUCCAGAUAAAACCAAAACAAAACAAAAAACGGAGAUCCUCACGAGUGCGGAGGGGGCAGUUUUGUGACAAAAGGCCUUGUGCUGAGCUUAGGUUGGUACCCAAUAAAUUAUAGAAAAGAAAACCAAA
rnacentral:lncRNA from 1 species